CGGGGUGAGUAACGCGUGGGUAACCUGCCUCAUACAGGGGGAUAACAGUUAGAAAUGACUGCUAAUACCGCAUAAGCGCACAGUGCUGCAUGGCACAGUGUGAAAAACUCCGGUGGUAUGAGAUGGACCCGCGUCUGAUUAGCUAGUUGGUGGGGUAACGGCCUACCAAGGCGACGAUCAGUAGCCGGCCUGAGAGGGUGAACGGCCACAUUGGGACUGAGACACGGCCCAAACUCCUACGGGAGGCAGCAUG
rnacentral:rRNA from 1 species